rnacentral:rRNA from 1 species
CUACGUGCCAGCAGCCGCGGUAACACGUAAGGGGCGAGCGUUGUUCGGAAUUAUUGGGCGUAAAGGGUAUGUAGGCGGUUAGGUAAGCCUGGUGUGAAAUCUACGAGCUCAACUCGUAAACUGCAUUGGGUACUGCUUGACUUGAAUCACGGAGGGGAAACCGGAAUUCCAAGUGUAGGGGUGGAAUCUGUAGAUAUUUGGAAGAACACCGGUGGCGAAGGCGGGUUUCUGGCCGAUGAUUGACGCUGAUAUACGAAGGUGCGGGGAGCAAACAGGAUUAGAUACCCUGGUAGUCCGCACAGUAAACGAUGUACACUAGGUGUCGGGGCAAGAGCUUCGGUGCCGACGCAAACGCAUUAAGUGUACCGCCUGGGAAGUAUGCCCGCAAGGGUGAAACUCAAAGGAAUUGACGGGGGCCCACACAAGCGGUGGAGCAUGUGGUUUAAUUCGAUGAUACGCGAGAAACCUUACCUGGGUUUGACAUCAAGAGCAAUGACAUAGAGAUAGGCAG